UACGUAGGUGGCAAGCGUUGUCCGGAUUUAUUGGGUUUAAAGGGUGCGUAGGCGGCUUUGUAAGUCAGUGGUGAAAUACUCCAGCUUAACUGGAGGGGUGCCAUUGAUACUGCGGAGCUUGAGUACAGAUGAGGUAGGCGGAAUUGACGGUGUAGCGGUGAAAUGCAUAGAUAUCGUCAAGAACACCGGUAGCGAAGGCAGCUUACUGGGCUGUAACUGACGCUGAUGCACGAAAGUGUGGGGAUCAAACAGG
rnacentral:rRNA from 1 species